rnacentral:lncRNA from 1 species
CUACUGGAAGGGGGAGCACCCAGGUGCGUCUCCGCCCCUCGCUCCCUACUGGCCGCUCGAAGCUUGAAGCUGCAGUUCACUUUCGCGAAUGUAAGGAACCCAGCUUCUGUGUGGUGGGCACUGAGAGCAGAACCGCAUUGAGUCGGAGUGGAGCACAGAAGUGAGUCCCAGGACACCGGAACCAGGACUCCCCGGCGCACCCGGAGAGUUUCCGAGCUCCUUUGAAGUAUGAAUCAGAACUUCUGGAUGGGAAUCCUGGAGCCACCACUUGCCCUAUGGUCGCAAUGGGCAAGUCGCUCAACCUCCCAGAUCCUGUUUUCUCAUGAGUAAAACGGGGAUUAUAAUACCCACCUGACAAUAUUAUUUUUGUGAGAAUUAAAUGAGUUUAGAAUGUAAA